rnacentral:lncRNA from 10 species
GGGAAUUCCUGGGGUGAUGGACACAUUUCGUAUUAUGGCUGCAGUGACUGUUACAGGUGUCUAUCUACAUUUGUCAGUGCUCAUCAAACUGUAUAUUUAAUGUGACUGCAUUUUAUUGUAUCUACAUUAACCCUCAAUAAAGUUGAUUUUAAAGAAAGAAAAUAAUGAGUACAAUUGAGAAUUUAGAGCUGAUAUUGUGAUUUUUUUUUCCUUUGGUCAGAAGCUAUAGUGAGAGAGAAAUGUGCCCAGGAAUCCCUUUUGAGUAAAGUGGCAAGACUCAGAGCAAGAGAGACACUCAAGACAGGAUAUAUUCGAAAGUGAUGAGAAAGGAAUGAGAAAAGCAUGAGAAGUGAUGAGUCCCUAAGGAGAUUUGUUCAAAGGUCAAGAGUGAAAGAAAGUCAAAGCUCUGCAGUUAAGAAGAAAAAUACACCACUGAAACUUUCAGAUGCCUUGAGACAAGAUUCUUCUUCCAGAAUUCUAGUAUCAUUCCAAGGCUGGACUCUUCAGAAGUGAUUGCCUGCAAAUUUAGGAUGAGAACAAAAUCACAGUUCAAGGAACUACUGGAAGAGAAAGCCACCAGCUUCAUUUGAUCCAGAUUUAAUGCCCCAGGAAGAAGCAUCCACUUAACAGAGGCUUUGUCAUAUACCAUAUACCAUACCACUUUGGCUGGCAAGGAAGUGCUUAAAACGUAGUUGAUUCUCAACCAUUGAAUGAAUGAGUGAAUGAAUUUGUUGAGUUUCUAAUUAUAAAAUAUCUUUUGUUCGAGGCACUUCUAUAUGUCAAGACCAUAUGCUGAAUUUUAUUUUAUUUUCUGACACCUUCAAAGGGCUAAUGAGUCAUAGAUUAUUUUUUUCUGUCUGCAAUUCAGUGAGUCAUUAUAACUAACUCCAUUUUAUUUCAGCCCUUGUUUAUUCCCCUCCAAAAGGGGAAGCUGGAUGAUAUUAUGAGGGGGCAGGCUGGGCACAGUGGUUCACACCUGUAAUCCCAGCACUUUGGAAGGCCGAGGCUUGAGCCCAGGAGUUCAAGAGCACCUUAGGCAACAUGGGGAAACUCUGUCUCUGCAAAACAAUAAAAAAUAAAAAAAUUCGCCAGGCAUGGUGGCAUGCACCUGUAGUCCCAGCUACUCACGAGGCUGAGGUGGGAGGAUUGCUUAAGCCUGGGAGGUAGAGGUUGUUGUGAGCCAGGAUCACAUCACUGCACUCCAGCCUGGGCAGUAGUGAGACUCUGUCUCAAAAAAAAAAAAAAAAAAAAAGGAGGAUGCAGGAUGUAAUUUGUUAACUUACUAAGUCUGAUUUUCAUUUUUCUCUAAAGUCUUGUAAAAUUUUGUUUGAGUAAAAUACACAAGAGGCAGCAGGAGAACAUUAAGAAGAGAGUUCUAGUGUAUUCAGAGGGUUUGAAAUAAAGGUACACAUGAGAAGGAACAGAGAGAUAUCCUAAGUUGUUUGAUUUUUUAAAUGGAUGUUUUACUGCAUCCUGAGGGUCUGGGAACAGAUUACUAUGUGCAAAACACACCUUUUCUACCUAGAUCAGACUUAACAUCUGCACAAACCUCAAAAGCAUCAUUUAUUUUGAAAAAUAAAGUAAGACCUAUGCUGAGUCCUGUCCACAGUGACCAUCCCAGAUGACUGCCCCCUGGUGAAACAAGACAUUUCUCCAAUCCCCACGUUAUAUUCUAUCUCUAUACCAGUGACUUCAUAUCACAAGUCCAGAUGCACUCCAGAAAUCAGGCCUAUACUUUCAGCUGCCUACUUUGGAUCUUCAAAAUAACACAGGCAAAACAGAACUCUUAAUUUUCCCCCAAACCUGCUCCUUCUGGUGCCUUCCUUGUCUCACCUAGUUCCUAAACCUAAAAAUUAUUGAUCCCUUUCUUUUCCUACCACAAUCACAAUCUGGCAAUAAGAACUGUGGUUUCUCCCUUCAAAACACACUUUGGAUCUAACCAGUCCUUUCCAUCUACACAACAAUCAGCCUGCCCAAGUCAACACAUCUCUUGCUUGAACAACCAUGGUGGCCUCUUUUUGUUUCCUCUUUCCCUUUACAUCCAUUCCCCACCUAGCAGUCAGUGUUAUCUUUUUAAAACGUGUAUUCAACAAUAUCACUUCUGUAACUCAUACCCUCCAGUGACCAUCCAUUGCACUUCAAAUCAAACUCCUCUUGGCCAGGCACGGUGGCUCACUCCUG